CAACAGUCAGUAAGAUGUGGGUGAAAGUAUUUUUUGUCUGAAGAUGUGAUGUGACCCAAAUCCCAAGCAUUGUACUGAAAUAAAAAAUGUAAGCUAUAUUACAUUCCCUUUUUUUGUACAAAAUAUGUUUCCAUCACAGCAGGUCAUUACCAGGGCAUAGAGAUAAAAUUGUUGUACGUCAUAACAAAAUGUAAAAAACAUGCUAGUCAGAAGACAAGAUCAAACAAAUUACAGCAUAAACAGUUUCUCACAUCCAGAGCAACAAGCCAUAUGACACAUCGAACUUGGUUUUCCUGCAUGCAUAUGCAAUUUCUAUUGCCAUAUAACUAAUGAAAGGCAUCCUAUGAAAAAAUAAAUAAAUAAGAAAUAAACUACAAUAGAGGCAGAAAUA